ensembl:lncRNA
AAAACACCUUGAGGAUUGAUUCUAAACAACGUUUGCCAUGUUUCUGUCGAUAUUAUGGAGCUCAUUUGGAAAAAAGUUUGGCGUUGUAAGUGACUGCAUUUUCCGGUCUUUUUCUUGAAAAAAAUGAACAUUUGCUAUCUAACUAAGAGUCUCGUCAUUGAAAACAUCCGAAGUUCUUCAAAGGUGUUUCAGGAUGCAGAAGGAUACAGAUUUGUCCAGGUGGAUGCUGCUAAGAUGCAGCUGCUGAAUCUUUGUUCUGUAUGGAAGGACAUCAGAGAAGAAAAACUGGAAUCCUCCCAAAGGAUGGAAGAAAACCAAUCACUUUAGCCACACACUACUGACCUUGGCUUGUUCCGAGUAUCAUACUGUGUUAUGGCUAAAUACUAGAUUUCAGCAUAUUGUUGUUUUGUUUCUCUAUGUUCUCAUCCAAAAUAAUUUAAAUGGCUAUGGCCUGCAUUGUUGUCAUGGAUAUUGCAUAGGCUCUCUGAUACCAAUGGCUGUAAACUGCUUUUGAGUUUGGUUGGAUAAGAUGGAGUGUGCUUCACUUUGCAAUGCAACAACCCUUCAAAAAACAACGGCACAUCCAUCUUCAGAGGUCUGCCCUUCAAAGUACAGUUACGAUUCUGUCUAUCAUUGUACUUCCAGUCAUUUCCUAU